AAAAGAAGAUCAAGAAGAGCUUCAGAAUGAAGCUUUCUUGAUGGAGGGGAGCGGCAGACGGGUGAGUAACACGUGGGAACGUACCCUUUACUACGGAAUAACGCAGGGAAACUUGUGCUAAUACCGUAUGUGCCCUUCGGGGGAAAGAUUUAUCGGUAAAGGAUCGGCCCGCGUUGGAUUAGCUAGUUGGUGGGGUAAAGGCCUACCAAGGCGACGAUCCAUAGCUGGUCUGAGAGGAUGAUCAGCCACAUUGGGACUGAGACACGGCCCAAACUCCUACGGGAGGCAGCAGUGGGGAAUAUUGGACAAUGGGCGCAAGCCUGAUCCAGCCAUGCCGCGUGAGUGAUGAAGGCCUUAGGGUUGUAAAGCUCUUUCACCGGAGAAGAUAAUGACGGUAUCCGGAGAAGAAGCCCCGGCUAACUUCGUGCCAGCAGCCGCAGUAAGAC
rnacentral:rRNA from 1 species